UGGAUGAUGUGGUUUAAUUCGAUGCAACGCGAAAACCUUACCCACCUUUGACAUGUACGGAAUCCUUUAGAGAUAGAGGAGUGCUCGAAAGAGAGCCGUAACACAGGUGCUGCAUGGCUGUCGUCAGCUCGUGUCGUGAGAUGUUGGGUUAAGUCCCGCAACGAGCGCAACCCUUGUCAUUAGUUGCUACAUUCAGUUGGGCACUCUAAUGAGACUGCCGGUGACAAACCGGAGGAAGGUGGGGAUGACGUCAAGUCCUCAUGGCCCUUAUAGGUGGGGCUACACACGUCAUACAAUGGAUGGUACAAAGGGUCGCCAACCCGCGAGGGGGAGCCAAUCCCAUAAAGCCAUUCGUAGUCCGGAUCGCAGUCUGCAACUCGACUGCGUGAAGUCGGAAUCGCUAGUAAUCGUGGAUCAGAAUGCCGCGGUGAAUACGUUCCCGGGCCUUGU
rnacentral:rRNA from 1 species